rnacentral:rRNA from 1 species
ACAAGCGGUGGAGCAUGUGGUUAAUUCGAUGAUACGCGAGGAACCUUACCUGGGCUCAAAUGUAUGUUGACGUAUUCUGAAAGGGAUACUUCUUCGGACAAUAUACAAGGUGCUGCAUGGUUGUCGUCAGCUCGUGCCGUGAGGUGUCGGGUUAAGUCCCAUAACGAGCGCAACCCCUAUCAUUAGUUGCCAUCAGGUCAAGCUGGGGACUCUAAUGAAACUGCCUACGCAAGUAGUGAGGAAGGUGGGGAUGACGUCAAAUCAGCACGGCCCUUACGUCCAGGGCUACACACGUGCUACAAUGGCCGGUACAAAGGGCAGCUACCUGGUGACAGGAUGCUAAUCUCAAAAGCCGGUCCCAGUUCGGAUUGCAGGCUGAAACUCGCCUACAUGAAGUUGGAGUUGCUAGUAAUCGCGAAUCAGAAUGUCGCGGUGAAUGCGUUCCCGGGUCUU